ACUACGCAACAUUCACACUCCUAUUGGCUAGCACUCCAACACAUUGUACGUGAAAGGCCAAGGGGCGGGACGUCUCUAAGCUGGUUGACCAAUCACAACAGAGGCGGCCAGCUAACCAAUCAGAGAAGACUGGGCUCUGGUUUCAGACAGAGGGUGAAAGAGGUGCUGCAGCACAGGCAGUAUGAGAAAAAUAAAGACCUUUUUGAACAUUAAAGCAUGGAGACAUGUCACAGUAGAGACAUACAGGGCCUCUUUAGGGUGUGUGUAGUGGUGUAACCUUGAGCUGGCUCAGCGUGAGCCUCAAAUUAUUAUUGUUCUGGGACAGAGAAUCCUCCUUCAAAGUGAAACAUUCUGCUGCAGUGCAGAUUCCUCUGACAUGUUUAAACAAAACCUUGACUGCAUUCCUAGGACACAAGCUGAAACAGGGGAUUUUGUCUUUUCCCCAUAAUGUCAUCACGCCUUCAUUAUUACUUCAUUGUGUUUAUCACAUUGUUUCCUAAUGAUUAAGAGUCACUUUUAACAGAGAGCGCCCUUUGGCCCCUCAGUGUCAUUGGAGUAGGAACAGUGUCAAAGAUGAUAAGUUCUUUACGUCACUGGCUGGUGAGUUCUGCUACUUUAAACAGGUCAAGGAGGCUAUAAAAUGUCUGUUGCAAGUCAUCGCGCUACUUAACCUGCACUGCAAGGCGUGUACUUGAAGGUGUGAUUUAGAAAAAAAGAAAACUGCCAUGGUCCUUUAUUACCCUGUGAUUGAGAUCCCUUUGAUGUGCGCUGGUAUCCUACUGUGGGCUUUUUGUUACCAUUUCGUAAGGAAGCGCAGAGAAGCAGAAAGAUUGUCCACGAUGCCGGCUAACUCUCCCUCUGUGUACGUGAUCCCCAUAUAUGAAGAGGAGCAGGUGGGAGAGGAAGACGAGGAAAUGAUGGACGUAUAUGAAGCUUAUUUUCAACCUCCUUACAGAGAGCCUCCCAUGUACUGCUCAAGAAAUGUCAGCCCUCCUCCAUACAGGUUCGAACCACCAUCCUAUCCAGACCCCCCUCCAUCAUACUCAGAUCUUCAACCUUACUCAGAGCGACCCUGAUCCUCCACCUCAUCCUUCAUACACUUCAAACAUCCUCUACUCUAAACAAACUGUACCUUUUUUUUUUACAUAACAUUCCUAUGGAAUCAAAUAAGGGUCACUUAGAGUUUGACAGAGUGAAAUGAUGUGCAGAAACUAUUUCCAAACGUGGUUGUAAAUAAGAUUUUGCAAGACCUGUCUGUUUGGAAAAUUGUAAAGAAAAUGAAUGAAUGAAGAAUUUCAGCCCUGAAGUACCUUUUAUUUAUGUGCUUUGAGCCAUAAUUUAAAAGCCUGGGUUUAAACUCACAGUAAUUCUUAACAUGUCUCUUAUUACAUAACAAAAAGCACAACAGAAUUUCACAAUAUCUUUUUUACCCUUAUUUGAGCCCAUACAGGUAACUGCUAACGUUAGUGCUUGUACGUGGUUAUAAGUUUCAUUUGGGACAUAAGUGUAUAUGAUUAAUCUACCUGUAAGCAAUCCACUGUGUGGAAAAGGAGAGACUGGGUUUGACUGUUUUAAAUACUAAAGUGUCAUACUCAACCUUGUUUAAACACUGCCAUAUGUACAAUAUGCAUACCUAAAAGAGAUUCAGUAUUUAAGUUAAGGCACUUGUUUACAUGCUUGAAUAUUACCAACUGUUUAACAUACAGUAUGUUAUUUACAAAAUAAAGUAAUUUAUAUUUGUGAAUACAAUUAAUUGAAGUCUUAUCAUGCUUGAAAUAUACCCCCCCACCCAACAUUUUAAAAGUAGAUCUGUAAAUUAGUAAAUACUAAAUAAGAUCAGUUUUAGUUCAGAAAGCCAUGUUUAUUUGGAGGGAUACAAUUGAAAUGUUUUGGUUAUUUUUGACAAAGUUUGUAUACUGCAAGUAGAACAAGAGUGGUCUUAUUAUUGAUCCCUGAGGAACGCCAUAGUUGUUGCUGUGCUGCAGCAAAUAGAGAGUGAAUGAUUUUGUUUAACAUGCAGGAUGUGUAAGACACAGAGCACACCUCUAAGUCCUGUGUCUUUAAAAAACAAACAAUAAUGCUGUAAAAGCUCAUCGGGUCAUGCACUUCCCUAAGUGACACACAUUAUCCUUUGAUACAGUCCUGAGGGCAGGACACUUUCUGUUUGUUUUGGAUCUUAAAAAAGGUAAGGACUCAUCCCAUUCUAAUAAAAUAAUCCAUUUAUCUUUUAAUUAUGUGUCAUCAAGGUAACGUACAGUAUGUUAGAAUUAGUUGAAUAUAGUCAUUUUCUCUAACAGUUGUAACGAGCAGCAGAUUUAUAUGAUGAAGGUUCACCGUCGGUUGUUAAACUCAGACAAUAAAGUUGAACAGUAUCCCGGUCAUUCAGAUAGUUUUGAUUCAAGCUUGUUUAUUUGUACAACGCUGAGGAGUUUUGAAAGCGUUUAAAAGUGCGUUAUUGUUAGUGAAAUACUGCAGGGUCAUAGGUCACAAGUCAACCAUGUGAUUGGUCAGUUAGUCUCGUACUAGUGGGCUUGAGUAUGUGAAGGCUGACACAUCAUAAUAUCCUGUGAGCCUACACCCACUUGUUGAUUUGUGUGUGUCACGUCUAAAGACUUCAUUUCCGGUCAGAGAAGACAGCUUGUUUUAUUCUUUUACUGAAAUAAAUCUGAUACUGUAGAGGUUUUCCAAGCUUGUCCACAUCUCCAGAACAUAUCAUAGAACAUUUAACACGUUUGAACAGCUGGACUCAGAUCUUAUUCUUAAGUAUAGUGAGCAAAAUUACAGCGUUAAAAUAAGUAAGAGCCCCUACAAUCAAGUAAGAGCGCUUAUUCUGCACAGCUGACCAUUCUCAGAAAAUAAAUGAUUGAAUUAUUAUAGAAUGAAUGCAUCAAAAUUGCACUAUUUUUUUUAUGCCAGUAGCUUGUGGAUUUUAUUGGCUCAAUGUUAUAAUGAUACGUCACAUUUGUUGAUUAUGUUUUGUUCAACUUAAGAUAGCAAGUAAAUACAAUGGAGUAUAUUAUCUUCAUUAUCUUAUUUAUCCUCAUGAUGUAAUUUAUCCUAAUUAAAUUAAUCAUCUUCAUUAUCUUAUUUACCCUCAUAACGUAAUCUUCAUUAUCUUAUUUACCCUCAUGAUGUAAUGUAAUCUUCAUUAUCUUAUUUACCCUCAUGAUGUAACGUAAUCUUCAUUAUCUUAUUUACCCUCAUGACGUAAUCUUCAUUAUCUUAUUUACCCUCAUGAUGUAACGUCAUCUUCAUUAUCUUAUUUACCCUCAUAACGUAAUCUUCAUUAUCUUAUUUACCCUCAUAACGUAAUCUUCAUUAUCUUAUUUACCCUCAUGAUGUAACGUCAUCUUCAUUAUCUUAUUUACCCUCAUGAUGUAAUGUAAUCUUCAUUAUCUUAUUUACCCUCAUGACGUAAUCUUCAUUAUCUUAUUUACCCUCAUGAUGUAACGUAAUCUUCAUUAUCUUAUUUACCCUCAUGAUGUAACGUAAUCUUCAUUAUCUUAUUUACCCUCAUAACGUAAUCUUCAUUAUCUUAUUUACCCUCAUGAUGUAAUGUAAUCUUCAUUAUCUUAUUUACCCUCAUGAUGUAACGUAAUCUUCAUUAUCUUAUUUACCCUCAUUAUCCUCAUUAUCUUCUUUAUCUUCAUCAGGAAGUACACUAUUUUCAAUAUGUAUUGGAUUAAAAGUCAAAAUAACAGGAAAUGGAAAUACUCAAAAAAAAGUACAUAAAGUACUUGAAUGACUGUAAUUAGUAACCGUCUACUUGCAUUCAUAUUCAGUCUACAUUAUUCUAAUUUCAAUUAGUUGUCACACUGUCAAUGGUUGACCAUGUUACAUAUCAUUAUUUAGUUUUUUCCUUAGAGCAAUGUCAGCAGGUUGACAUAACACCAGCCAUGGCUCCAGUAGGGAAUAUCCUCCAAUAUUUGUAAGUAAUCAAAUAAAGGCAAACAUGAAAUCGUCCAGAUGAUAUACCUCUGAGGUCUCUGAAUGAUGGAAAUGUGCUCCUAGAUUCCCAGGCUUGGUGGUGUCCAUCGCUGUGGUUCUCCUCUGCUUCUAUAUGCAGGCAAAAAAGAAAAGAGCAGCGUAUGACGUCACCGUACCGACGCCACAUGAUGACAACCGGCUCUCUACGAUUUCUUUGUCUGAGGAUCAGGCAGAAGAAGAAACACAAUAUGACAGAUUCCCUCCUCGGUACAGCACUGUGGAUCUCCCCCCACCAUACUCACUGUUUGAUCCCAAGAUUACCAGCAUUUGGUCCGAUGACUCUCCACCUGCAUAUGAGAUGUAUCCGAUAACGCCGUCUCCUCAUCACUGGAUGACACCCGCGGGACACCUGCAUCCAUAACAACCAUCAGCCCCCGCAGCCACACAGGAAACACCAGGCCUCCAAAAGCUUUACAUUUUAACUUACCAAACACUGACUUAUCUUAUGUUGUUUCUGUGUAUGCUGAAAAAUACUAUGUCACUUAUUUAAUGCUUUGAGCUUUGCAUUGAUAUUAACUGUAGACAGUGAAGCAAUCCUCUCAACAUCUCCAUUUUAAUACACUUUGAUAUGAACAUCAAACUAGUGUAGCUGUCCCACUGCAUCUACACACCAGCAGAACCAUGAAAGCACCGAGGGGCUCUCUAUGUUAUACUAUAUACUCUUUAUUACAAUACAGUACUUACAAGUUUGAGGGGAAAUAAAAUAGAUAUUCAAUGCAUUGCCAGUAUUAUUCUUCUCCAUUCUCUAAGAAGGAACAUGUACAGUGAGUGUUUCCUUGGCUUUUGAACAACGUUAAGGCAAAAGUAAGUAUGUAAAUAUUUGACUGUAUGUAAAUCAGAAAUAACAGAAACAAAACGUCCAUUAAUUGUCCAACCUGUAUUGUUAGGUAACAUAUUUGCCUUCAUUAUACAAUCAGUGCAUACUGUAGGCUACUUUUACAUUUUUUGUUGUUCUUAGUGCUACAAAUAAAACUCCAACAGAAUCAAUUUGCUGGGUCGUCUCUCUGUCGAAUAAACCUGACGCUUUACCAGCAUAGGACAACAAAUGUAUAAUGUAAUCAACAUUCAAAGAUAAAAGGAUUGCAAUCUUAA